CUUUUUUUUUUUUUUUGGGUACAAGUCCAUAUCAUCACAAAGCAAGGGCCGGCUCAAAGGUCAGCCCAAAAGACGAAGCCUAAGAGGCUCAACAAAUCGGCUCAAAGGAUCAACGACCUAUUCAACCAAGCCAAUUACAGGGUCCAAGCCCACACAUGAAAUCCUAGAUGACAGAGGCAAGACUUACGCUAGUCAAUGAUUUGCAGUACCGUCACAUGCGCAACUCUUGUGGUGGAAGAAAGCACCAAGAAGCAAGAAAAUAGGACUUGCAUGCACAAGCACAAGUCUAUUGUAGAGAGUAAGACUCCAUCCUAGGUACCAAAAUCCACAACAAUAAGUUGUCGGACACUUUCAAAGAAGCCAUAGAAGCAUCACAUCGGUAUCAAAAAAAGCAGAGGACAGCGGUGGUGGAGCUUUUUGAUGUCUCACUCAUGCCUUCUCGAUUGAUCCUUCAAUUCGCACCUUAUGGGCAACCACCACCAGACAAAAGUGAUUCCCAUGCCGUGCAAGAAUGAAAGAGCCCGCGCGAACUCAAAUUUCUUCCAUAAUCACCACAAGCACCAAGAAAAGGCUGCUUAAGUCAAUUCGAAAAAUCCCUUACCAUUAUUAUUGUUGGACCUGGAAAAUAACUAAAAAACCAUAUAUAUAAUCCAAUAUCAUGAGUGAGAGGGAAAAGAAUCACUUUCAAGCGGAAGAGAAGGAGGCCUCCCUUGCCCUUUGAGGGGUAAAGGAGGCCGCAAGCCAGCAAGAGACAAGGAGGUAGCCUUAGAGUAAGAAAUGGAAAAA
rnacentral:misc_RNA from 1 species